rnacentral:rRNA from 1 species
UGGGGAAUUUUGGACAAUGGGCGCAAGCCUGAUCCAGCAAUGCCGCGUGCAGGAUGAAGGCCUUCGGGUUGUAAACUGCUUUUGUACGGAGCGAAAAGGACUGCCCUAAUACGGUGGGCUCAUGACGGUACCGUAAGAAUAAGCACCGGCUAACUACGUGCCAGCAGCCGCGGUAAUACGUAGGGUGCGAGCGUUAAUCGGAAUUACUGGGCGUAAAGCGUGCGCAGGCGGUUAUGUAAGACAGAGGUGAAAUCCCCGGGCUCAACCUGGGACCUGCAUUUGUGACUGUAUAGCUAGAGUACGGUAGAGGGGGAUGGAAUUCCGCGUGUAGCAGUGAAAUGCGUAGAUAUGCGGAGGAACACCGAUGGCGAAGGCAAUCCCCUGGACCUGUACUGACGCUCAUGCACGAGAGCGUGGGGAGCAAACA